GAUCAUGGCUCAGGAUGAACGCUGGCGGCGUGCUUAACACAUGCAAGUCGAACGAAGCUGUUAGAAGGAAGUCUUCGUAUGGAAUUUUGACAGACUUAGUGGCGGACGGGUGAGUAACGCGUGGAUAACCUGCCUUAUACAGGGGGAUAACGGAGAGAAAUUUCCGCUAACACCGCAUAAGACCACAGCACCGCAUGGUGCAGGGGUAAAAUAUUUAUAGGUAUAAGAUGGAUCCGCGUCCGA
rnacentral:rRNA from 1 species